ACAUUCAGAAAAAAUACCAAAACCCUAAAACCCAACUCUUUCUAGCCACUAAAAAAGGGGGGCCGGCGGCGCCUCCCUCCUGGUUUUAAAUUUUUUUUCCUAGUGUUCUUCUCUUGAAAACCAGCCGCCGGCCCCCACGUUGAAUUCUUUUUUUUCUCCUUCUCAGCCGACCUCAUCUUCUCCUGUAGCCUCUCCAUCCUCCCCCGGCCAUUUUUUUUUUCUUUCCUCUUCCUCACAAAGAACCGGCCAAACAGCCCCUCCACCAUUUGAUUUUUCAGUUUUCUCUUCUUCCACCCGAACCAGCCUCCCUUCCCCAUCGUUCCUCCAUAUCACUUUCUUCUUCCCUCACCACUGAGCCCAUCCGUGACUGGCGAUCCACACCUUCUUCUUCCUCAUCGAUCUGUCCCCUCCAGCCCACAGACCAGUGGCUAGACCGGCGUCCAUCGAGCCCCAAGCAUCCAGCAGAAGCGUCUCCUUCGUCAUCAGUAACGGCUGCUCCUCCUUCGGUCUCCAUCUUUCCCGAUCUCUCACAGCCUACCCGGCUGAUCCAUCAACGCCGAAGCCUCUCCCUCAGCAACCUCUUCUUCGACGGUUCCUUCAACAACCGGUUCUCCUCCAACUCCAACCCGUGUAGCAGAUCCGGACCGAGAUCCAGCCACCACCAGCGCCGACGGUGCCCAACAACCCGAUGUGCUGCAGGGAUGAAAUCUCGGGCAACGAACCGUGAUCAACCCGAAAGAAGCGAUCUGAAAUGAAGAGGAAGGAGCAGAUCGGAGAAGAAAUAAAGAACAAAAAAAUCAAUCCGAAAAAAUAAAAAACAGACAAAGAAAUAAAGCUUAAAAUCGACUGUUUGUGCGUUUGUUUUUUUGUUAUAGAUGAUGUGUUCUUACCGCUGCGGGGAGGAAAGGAGGAAGAAGCAGAAUCCGACCAGCGUUUUUUUUCCGGCGUUCUCUCGCGGCGGCGUGAACCCACGCGCCGCCGCUGUCCAAGCACUGUUCACGCACCUAGCAGCUGUCCCAGCACUGUUCAGGCAGACCCAGAAGGCUUUAGAUUUGUGUUUUUUUAAUUUUAGGGUUGUUUAAUUUGAGUUGUUGAGUAAUUUUAUGUAAUAUUGAAUUUUGUAUUUGUAUUUGUAUGAUGGAUGUAAUAAAAAAAAAAGAACAAAAAAAAAAAAGAAAAGAAAAGAAGAAAAGAAAAUAAUAAUAAAAAAGGGAUGUGUGUUGGUGUAUUUUAUUUAUUUAUUUUGAAUUUGAUUUGUAUUUUUGUGGAUGUAAAAGAAAAGAAAAGAAAAGAAAAAAAUAGUGAAUGUGUGUGUGUAUUGUUUUAUUUAUUUGUAAUAUUAUUUAAGAUAAAAUUGCAAUAUAUUAAAGAAGAAUUUAAUAUUUUGAUCGGAUCACGGUUAAGAAUUAUUAACUUAUACGUAAGUGAUAUUUCUAAUUUCCGAAGAAAAGACAAUUUUAAAACUUCUUUAACACGUCAAAGCCACGAAGCAGCUUACCUCAGGUAGGGUGCGUUAGGGGUGCUAAUACCUUCCCUAACCACAACCAGUCCCUUACCCGCGAAUCUCUGACAAGACCAGUACAUCCGGUUUCCUAGUAGCCCCAAAAAUUACUAGGUGGCGACUCCAACGAACCAAAUUCAAGCAACGAACACAACGAGAUUUAAAUCGCCAGCCGAUGCCGCGCGCUGAUUUUUUUUGGGGUGCGACAGAAUGGCGACUCCACUGGGGAAGGUAUUUUUUCGAUUAUUGGACUAAGCUUUGUGUAUUUGAUGUGUUUAAGUUUUGCAUUUUUAUCUUUUUUUAAUAUUUAUUUCCAUGCAUUUUAUAGAAUUGUCUCAUGCAUCACCUGUAUUUAUUUUUAAAAGCACACACAAGCUUCUAGGUUAGGUGGGGAACUAGCGAUCUGCCCUAAGACUAUUGGUCAGGGUUCAGAUGCGUGAAACACCCAACUCAUAUCUGAGUGCCUGCUUGGUAAUGGUGGGAUACGUACCUUAACCAUUCCUUGCAACGCCCCCAAACUGUCUUUACGAAGAACGUCACUGGGCAGAUAUGAGACCCUUUUGAGACCAGAUAGAAAACUUACCCAUGUUCACAUAAUGAAUAGAACCUGUCCUUAGGUUGUAUGUGCUAUCGUUUUUUGCAUAAGGGCAAACCCUUCUUGAAGCAUCUUGAACUCAAGACUUGUGGGUGACACAUUGGCCGUUGCUCCGAAAAUUUUCAUUGUAGAGUUUGGGCAAAAAUCACGAUUCUUGUCCAUCAUACAAGAGUUACGACCAUAUUGUCACCUCUCGAAGGGAGAGUUCAUCAUAUAGAUUACAUGUUCAUACAUUUAUCAUGCAUGAACCGGGUCGAAACGUAGGUCCCUUGUACAAGUUGUGCUGCACGAGAUUGAAGAAAAAUAAUGGAAGUGAACAAAGGAGUCAGAUAUAGGUUCAGUAUCAGAUUAAGGUUGAGAGCAUCAAGAGUGAAGUAGCGGGACUCAGAUCUGCUCGAACAAGUGUUGAGCAUCAAAUGAAAAGAGAAUGUCUGCACAGUUUUCUGUGGGAACACUGCUUGUUCACGUCCAAUUGAAGCUGUACCUUUCCUUUUCAGUCAUGAACAACAGCAACAACGCCUUCAGUCAUCAACUAAUGACAACUCUGAUUCCUGUCCAGUUGCGCUGUUAAGUAUUCAUCGCCUCCACAUCAUCUAAUGGAACCAAACGACUACUAACCUCCUGUUCAUGGUGCAUUAGUCUGCUUUGAAGUUACCCCAAUUAUGAGCUCAAUUCCAGUUCAGCAGCACAAGAUGUUGGUCUGAAAAAAAAAAAACCAUGAUCAGACACUGAAUUUCAACGCGGUAGAGCUCUCUCUGUAGAGAUUUAUUUGUGGAUCUGUCAAUGGCAAAUGCAAAAGGGAAUGUAUUAAUUUCAUAUGCUUUGAAACUUUUUCCCACCAGUGGCACCAGCAAAACAUUGUAGUAGGCAGAAGAGUCAGACCUGGUCUGAUAAUAUUAGCAGUUGUCAAACUUCAAUGUGGCAGAGCUCUCUCUACAAAAAUCCAUUUAUGGCUCUGCAAAUUGGGAAUGCAAGAGGGGAUUUACUAAUUGCAUAUGCUACAAAUAUUUCUCUCAUCAGUUUCAGCACGAAGAAACUAUAGCAGGUUGAAGAGCCAGACUUGGCUUGAAAAAUAUGAGCAGACAUCAAACUUCAACAUAGCAGAGCUCUCCCGACAGGAAUCUGUUUGUGGAUCCGCAAGAGGGAAAUCCAAGAAGGAAUACAGUAGUUUCAGAUCAUUUAUGAUUUUUCUCCAACAGUGUCAGUAUUAAAAUGCAAAAGUAGAGAGAAGAUACAUGCCUAGACUGAAAAACAUGAAGAAUACUGAAACUUCAACAGAGCAGGACUUCCUCUAUAGGUGUUUGUUUGCUGCACUGUCAGUGAGAAAUGGAAGAGGGGACAAAAGUUUUAGAUUCAUCAGGUGCUCUUCCAAUAAAGACAAUGUGUGAUUCCACACGUCGGUAGUGGCGAUACUACAAGUUUCUGGGCGCUGCCAAGAUUACCAAGCUGUUAGAAAGUUUUCUAACAAUCCUCAACCAACCAUAGCAACAUUGGAAGAUUGAAAUAAUGCUGUGAGGAUUUGCCGAAGAAUUGAACAAGCUAUGAAGAGAAGAAAGAUUGAAGGAUCUGCCAUGGAUUCUAGAACAAUGAUGAGAGGUGAAUCAGGAGAUGACUUUGAUGGUGUGAGCCCUUAAUUAUGUGGUAUAGCCAGGUCUCACGGUAGCAUCAAUUGCUCAAAUGUCUUUGCCAAGAUGGGACAUUCCCCUGCCACUUAAGUUUGUCGACCAGCAUCUGCCAGAUUCCAGAAUUUUGCUUGACUCCGACAAAUCCCAUGCAACCACCAAAUUCUAGGUGGUAUAAUCCAGAUAAGAGAUGUGAUGUCAUGGUGGGGUCCUCAACCAUUUCAAGUGAACAGUUUCAAGAAUUGCAAGAAUGGAGUCUGAAAGUUGGUGAGCAAGAGACAGAUGGAGUCGUUGAUGAAGGGUGUCAUUGGCUAUAUUGUCCCUCGAACAUCAUCAAAAUGACAUGUGAUCGAAAGUGCUUGGCCGAACACAGAUGUUGCCAGAAAAGCUGAUUCAAGUAUGGUGAUGAACAGUCAAUCAUAUUGUUAUGGAUUUCGGCAUUUUGUUUUGGGAUCACAUCUCAUCCUUCAACGAAACAUGUCUUGCUUUUGUCUCUUUGUUGUUUUGAAAUCAACAGAUGUUUAGCAUUUUUUCUGACAAAAUAUUUUGAACAAACUCCAACAUGCGAUAAAGGUUAAUCAAUCCGGAAGAUUAGAAGUGUUUUGAUUACAGAAAUGACUCUAUGCUUGAAAAUGACAUGAGGUGACCAAACAAUUUUGAACUCAUACCUUUUGAAACUGAACCACACAUCAUAUAGCUAAGUUUUAGCAGUAUGCAUAAUGACAUGUAGUGGAUUCGGUAGUUAUGGACUCGUGAAUCAUGAUUCUUACAAGUCCCAAUCAUUACACUAGAUGAGGUCAAAAUUUAUCGGUUCUAACCGACCUUGCUUGAUGUCGCACAUCAAAAAUCCACGCGACAUCGGCUGGCGAAAAUUUUUUAUUUGUAUUUUGCUUGGUUCGUUGGAGUCGCCACCUAGUAUUAUGGUCACUUGGAACCUAAGGUCUGCAAGAGUCUGAAUAAGGGACUGGUUGUGCAAGGGGAAGACGCAUCACCCCCAAUGCACCCUACCUAAGGCAAGCUGCAUUAUUGUUUGAUUGCUUUUCUAGGUCAAGUUUCUAUUCGCUGGUCUUUUCUAAGGUUCAAGGCAGAUCUCCCCUCGUGAGGGAGUCUCUACCUUAUUCGGUAGAAUCCUAACCAUUCUAAAGUCUGAAUUUUAAAAUUGCUUUCACUUAUACCUUGUAUCUUUAAUACCCGCAGAUGUACAUUAUCGUGUAAUUUUACACCCCACAAAUAUUAAAGUUUAUAUCUGGAUCCUAAAAAAUAAAAAAAGGGUUUUUGACAUUUUGACCAAACCUUAAUGGAUAAUCAUAAACAUUUUAUGAUAUCCAUUUUUUUUUGGAUUUUUAAAACGUGAGAAACAUGCAAUUUGUUUUGAAAAAAACAUGCUUGGAAAAUUUUUAAGGCUUGGCCGUAUGCAAUAAAAUAUUUUUACCUUCCUUUUUUAUUUAUUUUUAUUUUAUUUUUUUUGCAAAAAAACCGGGUAUUUUAAUAUCGAACUUGUAUCUUACAUUGUAAGUAUACAACCCAAUAUUAAGCAAAACUUGGUAGAAAAAAACUUUUAAAUUUUUUUUUUUAUUAUUUCUUUUUUUUGAAAUUUUUUUUUUGAAGAUUUUUUUUUGCAAAAAAAACCCAUCAAAGCUUCAUGAUAUUGAAACGAAUACAAUCGUCAUAGGCAGGGAAACGAAAAAAAAACAAACAGGUGCAGUUAUUUGAACUGUUGAGAUUACAUAAUUAUUUGAACCAUAAUUAGCCACUGCAUGCAGAGAUAAAUUCUGCAUGCAGCAGCUACAAAGGACGAACGAAGAAGAAAAAGGAUGGAGCAGGGAGGAGAGAAUUACUUGGCGUGGAGAGAGUGGGCAGCCUGGCUUCUACUGCGCGGUGUGAGUGGAGGCGGCGUGCACUGGUCCCGGCUGGAAGAAGAAUAAAGCAGGUCCUGCAGAGGAGAGGGAAAGCUCACGGCUAGAGCUGUUGGAGUGGCUGAGGAAGAAAGUGCUACCCAAGCUGCUGCUGGUAGGAAUGCAAGCCGCUGUAAAGGAUGGUUGCUGCUGCUGCCACUGCUGGGGUCGCGGUGGUGGAGAGAAAAAAGUUUUGCUGGGAAGAGAGGGAGAGAGAGAGAGUUGUUGCUGGCUUCAGUGAGGUGGCUGGGUGAUGGAUGGGACGUGGUGUUUCAGGGGAAUGAUGGUGGCGAGAUCAGUGGUGGCAACUAGAGGCCACGACGGAGAGAAAAAAAAAAGAGAGGACUGGUUGCAGGAAAAACCGGGCAGGAAAAGCUGAUUUUCGGCCAACUUUGAGUUCAGUUUUCUCCUUCUCCUGAGCAUGAAAUUGGCUCCUAUUUAUAGGGAACGAAAGAGGGUAAUCUGGUAUUUAACGGGGAAAAAUUCUCAGCCCUUGAUUCGACUCGAGGAAUCCAAGCCGUUGGUUCAAAGUGUGCACCUCGAACUGCCAAAUUUGGCAAUCCAAGGCUGCAGACCGCCCGAGGGUGCCACUUUGGGCCAAUAAACGGAGCUGUCCCCAAGUUGUUCCACCCGACCAAACCACUCUACGAGAUAAAGAUGUUUCAGGGGAACAUGUUGGUGCACGCCUUGUCGGAUUUGGGGGCCAAACGAGUGAGAAAACGCGCCUGGAAAUCAGCCACUCGGGCAGCUCUGUGAGGAAGACGAUGAACAGUAACCGGGCGACCCCUCAACACAAAAACGGCGCCGUUUGGGAUAAAAAUUAGGGAUUUUUGCUGAUUUUCAAUCUAGCCCUCCGGCUUUCAAUUGCUUUCAAUUUGACCCCUGGAUUUUGUCAAUUAGACCCCUAUAGUUUGGCGCCUUUUGCAAGUUGGUCCUUGUCUUUGUAUUUUGUCAAUUUAACCCCUAAUUGACCCCAAAACUUCAAUUUUCUUGCAAUUUGACCCUUGAUUUCAAUCAAUCAACUUGGUAAAAAUUAAAUUUGGUCUCUUAAAAUUCCAAUCUUCUCAAUUAAGCCCAAAUUAAGCUCCCAAACUUAAUUUUCCACCAAUUAAGCCCCAAAAUAAAAUUAAUUUGACCCAUUUAAAGUAUAAUUAAGUCCUCGCACUUAAUUAAAUCCUUCAAUUGGACCCAAAUUAAUUCUUAAACAUAAUUAAAAUUCAAUUUGGCCCAUGAUUAAAUCAAAUUGACCUAUUAAAAAUUUAAUUAUGUCCUUGGACUUAAUUUUUAUGCAAAUUCGUCCGAUAAUCAUUUAAUUUAACCUUGAAUUUGCAUUUUCCUUUUCCAAUUUUUGGCACACUGGGGCGCCGGUAGGUCUUGAAUCUCCUCCGAAAAUUGCAAUUUGAUUUCCCUGCAUACUUUCUCCACGUUGCCAGCCUUUAUUAUUUUUUUGUCUUUAUUAUUUUUUAUUUUAUUUUGGGGGGAAUUUAUUUUGGGGGGAAUAACCCAGAAUUGGGUUAUGACACUUGAAAUGAGAAAAGGCCAUCUUUGAUAUCCCUUCACUUUCUAAAGAUUAUAUCCCUUGCAGUCCCAUUUUGAGCCUGGUAAAAUAUUUUCUUUCAAAAAAGGAAACCCUGACUAGGAUCACACCCCACAUUGGGGGGCAAAUGAGAGAUAUUUUGGAGACAUUGAUAUAAUUAAUGGAUAAAGGGGAAGGCUUAGAGCAAAGGUCCAAUGAUUGAGAGAGAGCUAAAAGAAAACACAUAGACUGGGGGCAUAUAAGAAAAUUUUGAGGAAGGCUAUGAAAAAAAAAAAAAAAAAGAAAAAAAAAAAGAGAAGUUGAAAUUGCCUUCACUUAAAUACAAGUCAAAGAUAAAGGAAGGAAAAGCCUAUCAAGUCUAGAAGAGCAAAAGAAAUUUCAAUCAAGGAAAGGUACAACAAAGUCAAUACCAGAAAAAAGACUAAGCUAUAAGCGUUGACUUUUGGUAUCCAUUAUAAAGCCUACGAUGUUAUCAGAUGAUUAAGGUUGGUUAUUUCAAAGAAAGUGGAUUUGCAUUAUGAUUUAUGUUAAGAAAAGUCUGAAGUUUGAGGUUAACAAGGUUAUAUGUUGUUUCCUUUACAAAGACAAUAAUAGAAAACUAGUUGAUGAAUAAUUGAUGUUGAUCCUAGGUCUUUGAAACCCUUAAACACCUUUUGAGCCUUUGAAAUUCCUUUCUUUCAUAGCCAUGAACCAUAGCCUGCAUUACGUGCUUUUAAAAGCCCUUUUUAAUCAAGCAAGCAAUUUGAACCGAUAAAUGGCGCUCUCAAAACUUGAAGAGCUUUUCCAUAAGGGUCGUGACUUCAUGAAUUAAGCUAUUGGUUAUUAUGCAUGCUGAUAAAACAAGUUAUAAGAAGAGAAACAACCUUUCUUUAUCAAGCCUGAGCAUCUAAUCAUUUGAAAUUCACAAAAAUAUCACCUCACCAUAAACCAUCAAAAGAUAUACCCAAAAUCAGAGUUUAAAGUGGACACAAAGAACCAUGAAAAAGUCAUUUUAAAUAUUACAACGGGUCAUUUCUGUUUUCAAAAUACGAGACAAUCAAAGGGCUGCAUUGAAUAAUGUGUUGGGUCUUUGACCAAAGGAGCUCGAAUUUCAAAAAUAACUUUUCAAAAACUGAUAUCUCUCUGAUUUCAUUUCAACAAUUAUACUUGAAUAGACAUGAUCGUUGAAAUGUUGAGAUUUGAUUCCAGAACAAGAAAGAUUUUCAAAAAGAACAUCAAUUGAGUUUGCAAAAUUCUUGACAAAAAUGACAUCAACAUUUCUCGACACUCCUUGAAACGUUGACCACCUGGGGGCAAUACAGUGGACCCUUGAAGAAAAAACAACAUUCCAGAUCAGCUGGGGGCAAAGAAAGAAUCAGAUGAUGAGUCGUCAAAGUUCAUCAAAGUUAUGUUUAGCAUCUGACAAUGACAAAGAAAAACCUUCUUGAGUAUAAACCGAUGAACGAACCUUCAGAUCAUAUUGGGGCAAUGUUGUUCAAAGACAAUCCAUGAUCUAGUGCACUUCAGCAGCAAUUGAUGAGCAACGCUGCACUUGAAGGAUAUUUUCAUAUCUUCAUCUUGAGGUUACCCUUGAAAACAUGGCUAUGACUCCUGAAGAUGUUAUCGGGUGAGUGCAUUUGAAUGAACAUCGAACAUAUGCAUACCACUAAGAUUGACUGUGGGACCAUCUAUUCUGAAGCUCAAAUGCGCACUUCACCACAUGAAUAUGGGUGAUAACAUGAACAUCAUUGAUGAUGCCAAAGCAGGUAUUUUCACGAUCUGAUUUGACAAGCUAAGAGGAAUCCAUAGAGAAAUACAUCGCGCUUACAAUGAUGAGUUGUUUACUGCAAAGCAUGAGAUACAUGUCUGGAUGACUUGGCAGUUCCAUGAAGGCUGGUGACCAUACAUACUUGAAUGGUGUUUCAACCGAAGGCAAGUUCAUGACUGAUUAACAAACGUGAUGGGUGUUGGCAUGAUGCACACAAUCAAUCAGAGGAUAAUUCUCAGAAGAAGCCAGGAGAGAAAAUCUCUCAUGAUGAAUCAAGCAGUACUACACUUGGGGGCAGGGUCAAGCUUCAUGAACGAUGCAAGCAGUAAUUGUCGAAGACAGCCCGGGAUGGGCACUAUUUACAGCUGAGUGGAUGGCUAGCACAUGAAUGAGCUAAUGCAUCGGAAGAACAAAGAAAGCUUUGGGAUGCAAACAAGGGCACCCUAUGACGAUGGAGCAUCAAAGAGGGGGGACCUAUAUUUCAAAUCAGGUAAGGAUGCAUGCAUAUCAUCUAACCUCCAAAAAAAAAAAAAAAAAAAAAAAAAAAAACACCAUUUGCACAUAUUUUUCAAUUGUCACAGGAAAAUCCCAAAGAAAUGAAGAGAUCAACAUUGCAACCGGGAAGCCUCGAGUUUUCAACCCUUGCAGUCAGGAAACACCGAGUUUUCAAACCCCAUGAUCAGGAAUUAUCAGGAAGCACCGAGUUUUCCAGCCCUUUCUUCUGUCAUCCCUUCAGAACUUCGCCAGGUAAGUCCUAUUUUUCACACCGCACUUCAUCAUAUUUUUUCCAUCUGGGUAGGUCACCCAUUACAAUGAGACCACACUUCAUAUUUUUUCCACGUGGGUAGGUCACCCAUUACAAUGAGACCGCACUUCACAUUUUUUCCAUCUGGGUAGGUCACCCAUACAAUGAAACCAUCAUUUUUCCAGGGUUCGUCACCCAUACAAUGAGACCAUCAUUUUUCUGGGUUCGUCACCCAUACAAUGAGACCAUCAUUUUUCUGGGUUCGUCACCCAUACAAUGAGACCAUCAUAUUUAUGGGUUCGUCACCCAUAUAAUGAGACCAUCAUAUUUCUAGGGUUCGUCACCCGUACAAUGAGACCAGCAUUUUUCUAGGGUUCGUCACCCGUACAAUGAGACCAACAUUUUUCUAGGGUUCGUCACCCGUACAAUGAGACCAGCACUAGGGUUCGUCACCCGUACAAUGAGACCAGCAGCACUAGGGUUCGUCACCCGUACAAUGAGACCAGCAUUUUUCGAGGGUUAGUCACCCGUACAAUGAGACCAGAAUGAGGUCGCCAGAUGGGAUCUCAUGUAGCUUUGGUUAAAGGGAAUCACCAGAUGGGAUUUCAGGUUAAUCGAGUUACAUAUAUUUCAUUCCAGAAUGAGGUCGCCAGAUGGGAUCUCAUGUAGCUUUGGUUAAAGGGAAUCGCCAGAUGGGAUUUCAGGUUAAUCGAGUUACACAUAUUUCGUUCCAGUUGAAUGAGGUCGCCAGAUGGGAUCUCAUGUAGCUUUGGUUAAAGGGAAUCGCCAGAUGGGAUUUCAGGUUAACCGAGUUACGCAUAUUUCGUUCCAAUUGAAUGAGGUUGCCAGAUGGGAUCUCAUGUAGCUUUGGUUAAAGGGAAUCGCCAGAUGGGAUUUCAGGUUAACCGAGUUACACAAUAUUUUCGUUCCAGUUGAAUGAGGUCGCCAGAUGGGAUCUCAAGUAAACCCAAUGUGUGGGCAGGUCGCCCGUGAAAAUAGACUAUUGGGAGAGUGUGGGUCGGUCACCCGUGAAAAUAGACUAGAGUGAGUAUGUGUGGGCAGGUCGCCCGUGAAAAUAGAUCAGUGUGAGUGUGUGGGCAGGUCGCCCAAGAUAAUGAAAUCAUCUUCCUUUUGUUUUCUUUACAAAGCUUACUAUGCAAAAUUUUGAGGAUUUUCGCUUCGUAAGCAUUGUAAAGAGGGGGCAUCUGUUGCUACCCAAUUUUUGACCCAUGUUUUUGAUAUAUUUUCAAAAAAUCCAAAAAUUGAGAAAAACAAAGAAAAUCCAAAAAAUAUGUUUUUUUAAUAUAUUUUCGUCAUUUUAGCAUUUUCAACGUCGUCUAAAAAAGAAUUUAAUUUGUUAAAAUAUUUUCAAACGCGUUCGACUUUUCGCGUCAUUUUUAAAAUCAUUGAUUUUCCGCAUUUAAGUCGACGUUGAUAUUGCUCGUUUUCAAAAAAUACAAAAAAAUAAGAAAAAUCAAAAUUUACAAAAAGAAAGAAGUUGAGGGACCAAGUUGAAAGACCUAGCAACAUUUUUGCCUAUAAAUACCAUGCUAAACUGAUUUUUUGGGGGGGACAAUUUUGACAUUCAGAAAAAAUACCAAAACCCUAAAACCCAACUCUUUCUAGCCACUAAAAAAGGGGGGCCGGCGGCGCCUCCCUCCUGGUUUUAAAUUUUUUUUCCUAGUGUUCUUCUCUUGAAAACCAGCCGGCCCCCACGUUGAAUUCUUUUUUUUCUCCUUCUCAGCCGACCUCAUCUUCUCCUGUAGCCUCUCCAUCCUCCCCGGCCAUUUUUUUUUCUUUCCUCUUCCUCACAAAGAACCGGCCAAACAGCCCCUCCACCAUUUGAUUUUUCAGUUUUCUCUUCUUCCACCCGAACCAGCCUCCCUUCCCCAUCGUUCCUCCAUAUCACUUUCUUCUUCCCUCACCACUGAGCCCAUCCGUGACUGGCGAUCCACACCUUCUUCUUCCUCAUCGAUCUGUCCCCUCCAGCCCACAGACCAGCGGCUAGACCGGCGUCCAUCGAGCCCCAAGCAUCCAGCAGAAGCGUCUCCUUCGUCAUCAGUAACGGCUGCUCCUCCUUCGGUCUCCAUCUUUCUCGAUCUCUCACAGCCUACCCGGCUGAUCCAUCAACGCCGAAGCCUCUCCCUCAGCAACCUCUUCUUCGACGGUUCCUUCAACAACCGGUUCUCCUCCAACUCAAACCCGUGUAGCAGAUCCGGACCGAGAUCCAGCCACCACCAGCGCCGACGGUGCCCAACAACCCGAUGUGCUGCAGGGAUGAAAUCUCGGGCAACGAACCGUGAUCAACCCGAAAGAAGACGAUCUGAAGAUGAAGAGGAAGGAGCAGAUCGGAGAAGAAAUAAAGAACAAAAAAAUCAGAUCCGAAAAAAUAAAA
rnacentral:lncRNA from 1 species